rnacentral:rRNA from 1 species
GGAGGAAAGCAGGGGAUCGCAAGACCUUGCGCUUUUGGAGUGGCCGAUGCCUGAUUAGCUAGUUGGUGGGGUAAUGGCCUACCAAGGCGACGAUCAGUAGUUGGUCUGAGAGGACGACCAGCCACACUGGGACUGAGACACGGCCCAGACUCCUACGGGAGGCAGCAGUGGGGAAUUUUGGACAAUGGGCGAAAGCCUGAUCCAGCAAUGCCGCGUGAGUGAAGAAGGCCUUCGGGUUGUAAAGCUCUUUCAGUCGAGAAGAAAAGGUUGUGACUAAUAAUCACAACUCAUGACGGUAUCGACAGAAGAAGCACCGGCUAACUACGUGCCAGCAGCCGCGGUAAUACGUAGGGUGCGAGCGUUAAUCGGAAUUACUGGGCGUAAAGGGUGCGCAGGCGGCUUUGUAAGUCAGAUGUGAAAUCCCCGGGCUUAACCUGGGAAUUGCGUUUGAAACUACAAGGCUAGA